rnacentral:rRNA from 1 species
ACGAACGCUGGCGGCGUGCCUAAUACAUGCAAGUCGAGCGAGUCUGCCUUGAAGAUCGGAGUGCUUGCACUCUGUGAAACAAGAUACAGGCUAGCGGCGGACGGGUGAGUAACACGUGGGUAACCUGCCCAAGAGAUCGGGAUAACACCUUGAAACAGAUGCUAAUACCGGAUAACAACAGAUGAUGCCUAUCAACUGUUUAAAAGAUGGUUCUGCUAUCACUCUUGGAUGGACCUGCGGUGCAUUAGCUAGUUGGUAGGGUAACGGCCUACCAAGGCGAUGAUGCAUAGCCGAGUUGAGAGACUGAUCGGCCACAUUGGGACUGAGACACGGCCCAAACUCCUACGGGAGGCAGCAGUAGGGAAUCUUCCACAAUGGACGCAAGUCUGAUGGAGCAACGCCGCGUGAGUGAAGAAGGGUUUCGGCUCGUAAAGCUCUGUUGUUGGUGAAGAAGGACAGGGGUAGUAACUGACCUUUGUUUGACGGUAAUCAAUUAGAAAGUCACGGCUAACUACGUG